AAGUCGUAACAAGGUUUCCGUUGGUGAACCUGCGGAAGGAGCAUUAACACGUAUCCAAACGUUAACACCCCCCCCCGUGAACCUUCAUCCUGCUCUUGUAACCCGCGUAGUUCGCAAUCUCUGAUAAAUCAUAGCCCGGAAAGUUGUAGUGAUUCAGAGACCUCUGGCUACGUGCGAACAUUGGAACAGUUACAAUCGAGCGGUAGUUCUAUAGGCAAUGUUUCCCCAAGCAGUCAGUGUCGGAAAGUGUCAUUGAUUGUGCAAGGAUAGCGCUUCUACGAUUCCUGUAGACCGUACACUCGGAAUGUGAAGCUCAAUGUAAUACAUUGGGUAAAAAAACCGAACAACUGUUAACAAUGGAUAUCUUGGUUCUC
rnacentral:misc_RNA from 1 species